rnacentral:lncRNA from 1 species
UCUCUCUCUCUCUCUCUGAAUAUCUUUGUCAUCUCUGAGAAUAUCUCUCUCUCAUCUCUAGCCAGAUCUCUACAACCACCGCAAAUCUCCGGCUCCCUUCCCCCCCCCCCCCACCACCAGUUUCCGACGAGGUAACAUGAAAGCGCAGACCAUCACCAUUGGUGCGUCCCAACCAAGGUUACAUCUUCGAUCCCCCCCCCCCCCCCCGCGCAAAUCUCUCCAUCCAAAACCCUCCUUCAACGGUAGAUAUGAACACUAGACCGGGACUAGUCUCCGACAUCGGCAAGAAAGCCAAAGGGCAAAUUACAUAAGGAUAGCAGGUAGACGAGCAACAAACUGCGCCGCCACCCCCUUCUGAAUAGAAAACCCCAAUCUACUAAAAACAACGUCUCACCCCUAGGGGUCGAAAAGUUGUUGUGGACCAUACGCUGAACUCUAGCCAAGAACCGAACCGCCUCCGGCGCCAAGGAGCCGAACGUGUCAAACGCCAGGAGGACAAAGGCAUGCUAAUUAUCCUCACAAGCUUUCGCGUGUUUUUCCACCUUCUUUGACUCUGCUUUCAGUAUCGCUUUCCUCGUCACAAACUCAUUUUCCCGGAACUCAACUAGAGGGAUACACCUGUGAGAUCGACACAAGCAUGUUUCUCGGCCUCCCAACUAGAAAACUAGCAAGUCAGUCGGGCGUAGGGUGGACCUCCCUUCCGUCGGGUCUGUAAGAAAAUUAACCGGUAUUUUAAAUAAUUUUUAAAAACCGGCUUUUAUAUAAAAGAAAGUGUUUAUACCAAUUUAAAAUGUCACAUAUAUUUGGUUUGAGAAUUUACAAGUUGAAUCGAAAAAAAAAAACACGUCAAGAAGGAAACAUGUUUGUGUGAACCUUAGAGGAGUGUCCUCGCUUAUUGGGUUUAAAAUAAUGGCUUUGUUGCGGGCCAAGCUGCGUUGAAGGCGGAAUCAGGCAAGGUUCCCAAAGAUAGAACUUAUUUAGAGAAUUGACAUGUGUUUAUUCGUUUUGCUUUUGAUACUUUUGGUCUCCUAGCCACGAAGGCUGAAUUUCUAAAUAGAGUUGAGCAGAUCGUGUACUGUAAUUAUUCGACCUUUAAGACCCAAAACUUUGUUUUUAGUUAGAUCGGUUUUGCUAUUCAAAAGAAGGUUACGGUAUGGUCUGUAACCUGCUUACCUGUCACUUUGGUGUAAUCAUCCUUCUACAAGAAUUAAUGAAAUACUCAAAUUGUC